GAAAAGUGGGUCUCUUUUUUAGCUUUUAGUCUCUUGUUUCUGGGUUAGUCUCUUAAAGUCUCUUUUUUUCAGAAUAAGUCUCUUUUCUCUCCUUUUUUGUGCCUUCAAGUGCUCAGUUGUGGAACAGGAUUGUGGGAUGUGCUAUUCUUCAAAUGCAGUAAAGGAUUCAUGUUGAAAUGGUUGGCUGCUGAUCUGUGAACUGAAGUGUUAAUGAUGGGAAAGUACAACUUUAGAGCCGAUUGGCUUCUUAAAAAAGACCAUAAUGGACAUUUGAUGUCAGCAUGGGUAUCAAGACACAGUGAAACUGAAGGGUCUUCAUGCUUUUCUUCAACACUCAGACUAUGCUAAACUUUUAAAAGUAGCAGGUUUCCUUCCAAGGAGAUAUUUGAAGAACAAUGUUAGAGCAAUAUGUAAUAUAUUGGAAUAUUUUGAGAACCAUCCAGAAAAACAACUAGCAUUAAUUUUUCUAGAUGCUGAGAAGGCAUUUGAUAAUGUUAAUUGGCAGUUCAUGCUGCAACAACUGAACAUUAUGGAGUGUGGCAAUGAUUUCUUAAAGAUGAUGCAGUCUAUAUACUCCUGUCAAACUGCGAAGGUUAUGGUAAAUGGUGAAUUGUCAGAAUCAAUUAAUAUUCAAAAGGAAACUCGACAAGGCUGCCCUCUAUCGCCACUGCUUUUUAUUCUUAUCUUGGAAAUACUGAGUUAUCAAAUCAGAGAAGACCCAAAUAUUAAAGGUACAUUGAUCAAAGGGGAACAGCAUAAAUUGAGAGCAUUUGCAGAUGAUCUUGUUUUCAUAUGAGAACAACCAUUAGACUGCAUUGAUUAUUUUAUGAAUAAGAUAAACCAGUUUGGAUUAAUGGCAGGAUUGAAAAUUAAUUAUGAAAAAAACGAAAUUUUUAACUAAAGAUGUGACAAUGGAGCAAAUCCAUCUUUUUUCAACAAAAGUCAGGUUUUUCUUAUGAAAAGAAAGUGAAAUAUCUGGGGAUUUAAAUUGCAAAUAAAUGCUGUAGUUUAAAGACAGAUAAAUUACUUAAAGAAAUUAAAAAGAACCUGGAAAGGUGGAAAGACCUGAAUGUAUCCUUAAUAGGAAGAAUUGCCUCGAUAAAAAUGAAUAUCCUUCCUGUAAGAUUUCCAGGUUCUCUUACAGACAUAUUCUGAACCUUGUUGGUCUUCUGUAAAUGUAGUGUAAAGACUGGGUUCCAAUGAUAAAUAAGCCUCCAAACAGAAGAAAGACGGAUGAAACAUCUUGAUAUCUAGAACCGACAUCUUUGGAAGGGCUUCCUUUAGUUCUAUGAACUAAAUACUGGAAUAUUGUUACUUCUUUGUGAUUGGAAAGACUGUUUUUGAACUGUCUUCUGUGAAUGUCUUUUUGCUAUAUGCUCUUGUCUAUUUGAAGUUCUAUGUGCAAGCUUUGUCAGAACACCAUUGACCUUUACAUUACACUGUCUUGUUUAAAAUUUA